CCUACGGGAGGCAGCAGUGAGGAAUCUUUGUCAAUGGGCGAGAGCCUGAACCAGCAAAGUAGCGUGAAGGAUGACUGCCCUACGGGUUGUAAACUUCUUUUAUAAAGGAAUACAGUGAGGCUCGUGUGCCUUUUUGUAUUUACUUUAUGAAUAAGGAUAGGCUAACUACGUGCCAGCAGCCGCGGUACUACGGAGGAUCCGAGCGUUAUCCGGAUUUAUUGGGUUUAAAGGGAGCGUAGAUGGGUUGUUAAGUCAGUUGUGAAAGUUUGCGGCUCAACCGUAAAAUUGCAAUUGAUACUGGCAGCCUUGAGUACAGUAGAGGUAGGCGGAAUUCUAGGUGUAGCGGUGAAAUGCUUAGAUAUCACGAAGAACUCCGAUUGCGAAGGCAGCCUACUAAACUGCCACUGACAUUGAGGCUCGAAAGUGUGGGUAGCAAACAGGAUUAGAUACCCUUGUAGUC
rnacentral:rRNA from 1 species